rnacentral:lncRNA from 1 species
CAAAUGUGACGUAGCAAUGGCAAUCCUGGUGAAUGAAACUGUCCUUGUCCUUCCUUAUUUCAGUCUUGGUUUCACGUUUUCAAGAGUCUGGGAAUCAGGAAGCAGACUUGGCCCAGUGGUUAGGGCGUCCGUCUACCACAUGGGAGGUCCGCAGUUCAAACCCCGGGCCUCCUUGACCCGUGUGGAGCUGGCCCAUGCGCAGUGCUGAUGCGCGCAACGAGUGCCCUGCCACACAGGGGUGUCCCCUGCGUAGCGGAGCCCCAU